UAUACUGGACAAAAAGAAAAGAAAAAAAAGAAAAAACCCAACUUAUAUCAAUUUCUUCCCAAAAGAAGCUUCAAUGAGUGUGGAAAGAGAGAGACCCGAAUCUCUCAUCUAUCAAUUUCUUUGGAUGAACCGUGUUGAUGGUAGUAAUUUGAGGAAAGAAAGCUUGGUUUCCUAAACUCAUCUUUCUCAGAUUGGACUCCCGAUGGUGUCGAUCAUUCCGUAAACGACCAGCGAAGAGGUUAGGGUUUUCAACCAGCGACCAAAAAUUGAAGUUGAAUCGAGCCACCAUGGACGACGGUACGUACCUUGUUACAGUUGCCUCUCAUCCUUUCUAUUUUGUGCUAACCAUAAGCUAAACCCCGAGGGGGUGGACCGACAAGUGCUGGUACGUCCACAACCUCCUCAAGUACGAGUUCGAUCUCCAAUUCGACAUCCCCAUCACCUACCCUUCCACUGCCCCCGAACUUGAAUUGCCCCAACUGGAUGGCAAGACCCACAAGAUUUUGUUAGAUGUCUAGAGGAAGGAAGAUUUGCUUGACUGUGCAUUUCAAACCGCUCCGGGCUAAGAACUGUGAUUUAGAGAAAAGAUAGCAGAAGGAAGAAAGUCUUUGCAGGAACUUACUCCCUGGUGCUACAAGGUAUUACUCGUUCGCCAUAACUUAGAUGUUAUGCAUAUUGAGAAAAAUGUUUGUAAGAGUAUUAUUGGCACCUUAUUGAACAUAAAAGGAAAAUCAAAGGAUGGACUCAAGUCUCGUAUGGAUUUGGAGGAAAUGGGCAUCAGGGGGGAUUUGCACCCACAAGAUUCAAAAGGGAAACAUUUCUUGCCACCAGCACCACAUACACUAAAGAAGGAAGAAAAACAGCUUUUAUAGAAGAACUACAAGGUUUACAAUGUGAGUUGUUACAUUGGAAAGGGUCAGGUGUAGUUGUUGCCAAGGCUGAGAUUGCAACAACGGAUCCCAAUGCAUUAAAAGAUCAUUUUCCAAUUGGUCCAGAUUGUUGGAAAGUAUGGAUUGAUGAUAUAUUGGUCAGCGAGUGUCCUUUGUACCGAGCAAGCCUAAAUGGAAAUUUUUAUCUUCAUGAUGCUAACACAAGCUCAGUUGUAUGGCUUAAGAAAUAUGUGAAAAUUAUAAAGGUCAAUUAGUCAUUCACUAACUUAUUAUUAUUAUUUUUUAAAUUAGUCAUACGAUCUGAUUUUUUAUAUAUUUGUUGGCAUUUCAUUUUUGAAAUAUUUUUUCUGACAAGAUUGAUUAUCACCAGUUCAUUAGGAGCAGAAUUUCUAUGAUUCUAUUCCACAACAAAGGUCAAAUACUAUGCUUCUUCAUUUUCAUUAUCACCAUGGAAAUACAUUAUAUGCUUAAAAAGUUAAUUAUUUUAGAUGGUCACGUGCCUUAAGUGGCCAAUUAUUAUUAUUAUUGUGCAUAAAUUGAGGUUGGGAAAUUGUUGCGGAUGGAGUUUGGUUUUCAUUCAUUGCUUACUACGGUGUAUUGGGGGUCACGUGCCUUAAGUGACCAUUUUAUUUAUUAUUACUGUGCAUAAAUAUAUGGAGGGAUUGAUGUUGUGAUCCAAACUAGGUAGUUCCAAGGGACAAGCUGAUAUGGGUUGUAGAAUGAAGCAAUCAUUAUUUUACUUUGACACCUUAAGAUUCUUCAUAUUGCAUAAUCAACAAGAAAAUACAUAUUCUCUACCAUUCGAAAGAAAAAGAAAAUGCAAUGCUCUUAAAUCUAGUAAAAAAGAAAGAAGAAGAAGAUAAAACUGUUAAUCACAUUGGAAAAAAAUAAGUUUGGUAGGCAAUUUAGGAGCAGCUCGGAAACUGAGCUGUCAAGUAUUGUAAACUUAUAUCCAAAAGUUUUUGUUCGUGUUUCAUAAUAUCUGAAAUUUUACAACAUUGUCUUUUAAAACACCAAGAAUACAUACAAUAUAAGGUACAUAAUUUAGGAUUUCAUACCACAAUGAACUGAUACAAUGAAAAUAUCUAUCAGAGGAAAAAAAAAAAAAAGGAGGAUGGGGAAAGACACAAAAACAAGGACAAUGAGCAAUAUGAGAACAGGUGCUCCUAAGCUGAAGUUCUUCAUGAUCUGUCUCUGUGUGAUUGUGUGGUAAUUCUUGAUGCUAAGUGGUAUCACUAGUGAUGGCUAUAUAUAGGGGUUGCUUUUUCAAAUUGCCUGUGCUCUCUACAAAAUUAUGGUUCAACCUUGGAUAAGUAGUCAAUUUUAAUUAUAAUAUAGGUCUUGUGGAUGGGCAGUUUGGUUGUUUUGGAUGAAACUUGGAAUUAUUUUAUUGGCACUUGCAGGAAAUGGACAAAAUAGACUUCAAUUUGCAAUUACCAAGAUAUGUUCUAUGGGUUGAUAAGUUAAAAUAGUAUUCAAGAUCUCAAUACUUAGUUCAACUGUUCUUAGAAGUUUCAUAUAUACUUCCAAGAUAAUAAAUUGCGUCACACAUUUUUCCAAUUCAUUAGUGUGGAGGGAAAAAUCGCCCUCCAAUGAAAGUCACCCACGUGGCCACAAUAGAAGCUCUGUUUUUAUUUUCAUUAAUGGGCCACAAGAAUCUUGCUCUGUUCAAGCCCAGUAAAGAUGUCAAGAGCCCAUGGUCACUGUUGUUGAAUUUUCGGCCAUUGGCCGAGUCGUCUGGACCAAGCUGCAUUCAGCCCAGCUUCAUUAAGGAUGGACAACUCCUGUUAGGCAAAUGAUUCAACAAAGAAGGCAAGUUCUAUGAAAGGAAAAUUUUGCAUGGAAAGAAUUGUAAUAAGGAAAGAACUCUAAUUGUAAAGAAUGUUGUGUAUGGAAUGAAUUGAAGGACAAGCAAGGCGAGUCCUACAAUAAUUCUACCACCUUUUUCCAUAUAAAUAGAGGCCUAAACCUCCAAUAAAGCCAUCGAGCAAUUUACACUUGUCUCUGAGUAUUAUUAUUGCUUGUUCUCAGUGAGCUGUAUUUUUCUUUUUAUUUCUUUUAAAUAGAGAGAAAUUUUGCACCUACACUUUGGCGCCGUCUGUGGGAAAUGUAUAGAAAUAUACUCUCACUUUUGUUUCAAAUGGUUUCUAUUACUACGAUCAAGGACGUCAAACGGAGAAUCUGUAAUAGCGGUUGGAGUUGAUGCAAAAGAUGUGAGAGUAAUUCUUGCAUCAGUUUGAAACGCUUCGUCAGGUGAACGAAGCCAGUGUAGCUCAGAUUGCAUUGCUUCAACAACAAAACGAUACCCUUCAAACAACAAUGGCUCAGUUGAAAUCACAGCCGCCACCAGUUGAUGUGACCGUAACCCCCACAAACCAAAAGGCUCCUCCAAUUAUCAACCCUCAGGUCAAUGGCACAUAGCCUAAUGAGGCUCGGCCCAACGAAGUUCCGCAAGAGCAGAGGACAAGGUCCGAGGCAGUUGCUUCGGAUAAUCUUCCUCAUCGCACACAGGAUGAACAAGCCGAGUCCAGCCGUAAGCUUAUGGUAUAGUCCAAUGGCAUUCCAGAUAGCUCAAGCGUAUAGGAGGCCUUUGACGAAAGAAGACUCCUGAGGAUUCAGACACCCGCCUAGAUGGCCAGAGAGCAUAAGAACUCGUUAGUGAAGACUCCAUUCACUGAUGAUAUAUAUAUUGUCAAAAGACCGAAGAAGUUCUCUAUGCCUUCCUUUACCCAAUUUGAUGGCAUAGGGAUCCUUCUCGUCACCUCGAUCAUUACGCACAAAAGAUGGCUCUAGAUGAUCACAACGAUCCGUUCAUGUGUAAGGUUUUUCCGACCAGCCUGACAGGAGCUGUGUUGGAGUGGUUCAGAAACAGGCCACACAAGUCUAUCCCGGACUACGAAACUCUUUGCACUAUGUUCCUAGCAUAGUACUACGGAAACAAGAAGCAAAAGAAGAGUAUCGCUAGCCUUUUUACCAUAAGGCAAGAGAAAGGAGAAACGUUGCAAGAUUUCUUAUCCAAAUUUAACAUGGAGGCCUCGAAAAUAGCAGAUUGCCAUCUUGCGACUGCAAUAGAAACAUUCAAGCUUGCAAUGAUUCAGGGAACCAAGUUCCACACUUCCUUAGUUAAAUAUUCCCCUCCGAAUAUGCAAACUCUCAAUGCUAAGGCAUAGAUCUACAUCCAACUUGAGGAGAAUGUAGCCCACUGAGUGCAGUAUGACACCCUCGUUACAGUAGAGAAUAAGCCAUAGGAAAGGGCGCCAAAUUUAAAAAGUCAGAAAAGCCAGCACGCCUUAGCACCGGCCAUUCAGGUACCCGAGAAGAAGUAAAGGAUAGAGGAAAGGUUCACACCUUUUUACACCACCUUGGCUUGGCUGUUCCAAGAAAAUAAGAUGAAAUUCAUAACCCCUUAGCCCAUGAAGCAACCCUUGGAGCAAAGGGAUAAGAUUAAGCACUGCGCCUACCAUGGAGAUUACGGGCAUACAACUAAUGAUUGCAGAUCCCUUAGGCGGCAAGUGGAGAAUAUGAUAAUCAGAGGUGAGCUGACAAACUACCUCAUAACAAAGGAGUACGUGAAGCCUCGGGAGGCCAACCCUCGGAGAAUAGAAGGUAAUCAAGUAAAGGUCAUCCAUGCAAUACAUGGGAGAUUAGAAGACGACCAAGAAUCAGAAGAAGUAUAUAGAUCCAGGCUAAAAAUAGCCCACAAGCUAAGAAAGUUAUCCUUGGCGAACACUAUCACCUCGGGCAGCAUCAGUAUUGGGUUCGGCGAUACGGAUUUAUCCAGGGUUCAACUCCCUCACGAGGAUCCGCUAGUCAUCAGCCUUCUGGUGGCAAACUGCUUGAUCAAAAGGGUUCUGAUAGACCCGGGUAGCAGUGCCAAUAUUAUCACAAAGGUGGUCUUUGAGCAGCUAGAGAUCCCGUCAUCAUCAAUCCGGUCCACCUCCAGUCCCUUAAUGGGGUUGGAUGGAACGAAGGUAGACCCCUUUGGGGUUAUUGAUCUAUUUGUCACUAUGGCGAAAAGAAUAUUGAAAGAGAAAUUUGUUCUAACAGAGAUACAUCCUUCUUAUAAUCUCAUUAUGGGAAGAGGUUGGAUCCACCGAAUGAACGGGGUCCCGUCUACCCUUCAUCAAGUGAUGCGAUGCAUGUCUCCGGACGGUAAGGAAGUUAUUAAUCUUUGGGGAGAUCAAGUCACUGCCAAAGAAUGCUAUAUGUUGACACAGAAUAAGGCAAAGAAGGUAGUCAAGUAGUUCCAACCAGUUGCAACUCUCGGAAGCAUGUCCAAAUAGCAAUUACAGAAUCCUCUGCCCAAGUAUUUGAAAGCGGAGGAUGAAGCUAAAGCUACAAAGCCUACCGAGGAAUCUCGCAAAGCUGUUGAAGUAAUCCUCGGCAAUCACCUAUAUAGGCUCUUCCUCCACAGCCGAAGAAAAUGAAGCAUUAAUUGAUGUCAUUCGACGAAACGCAGAUGCAUUUGCUUGGGAUCAUUCAGAUAUGGUAGGUAUCGAUCCUUCAGUCUCGUGCCAUAACCUGAAGGUGGAUCCGGCAUUCAAGCCAGUCAAGCAAAGACACAGAAAGUUCGCUCCUGAGUGCAAUCAAAUUAUUGCUGAAGAAGUAAACAAGUUGCUUCAGGCAGGUUUCAUCCGAGAAGUGCACUAUCCACAAUGGUUCUCUAACGUCGUAAUGGUUCAGAAGAAGAAUGGAAAAUGGAGGGUGUGCAUAGAUUUUACCAAUCUCAACAAAGUUUACCCCAAAGAUAGCUUUCCACUACCCAAAAUAGAUCAAAUAGUUGACGCUACAACCGGUUUUGAGAGACUCACAUUCCUCGAUGCAUAUUCCAGCUAUAACCAAAUCCCUAUGCAUCCAGAAGAUGAAGAGAAAACUCCUUCAUAACAGAGAAAGGCACCUACUGCUACAGAGUCAUGCCUUUCAGACUCAAGAAUGUUGGGGCAUCUUACCAAUGCCUUGUUAAUAAGAUCUUUGAUAAGAUAUUGGGAAAGACGGUCGAGGCCUACAUUGAUGACAUGGUAGUUAAAAGUGUGAAGAAGGAAGAACAUCCUAAGCACCUUCAAGAAGUCUUUAACACUUUGAGAAAGUAUAACAUGAAGCUGAACCCUUCGAAGUGCUCUUUUACAGUUUCUUUAGGGCAGUUCCUCUGCUAUAUUGUCAAUAAAAAGGGAAUCAUGGUAAGUCCGGCUUAGGCUCAGGCCCUAAUGCAAAAUCAGGAACCAAAAACUCACAGGGAAGUACAGGUUCUGACUAGCCGAAUUGCAACUCUUAGCCGCUUCAUCUCUCGAUUAUCAAACAAAUGCAAAUUGUUCUUUGAUACAAUAAGAUCCAAGAACAAAGAUAUAUGGGGACCUCAACAGCAAACUGCUCUUAACCAAUUGAAAUGUUACAUGGCUGAACCUCCAAUUCUAUCAGCUCCGAAGCCUGGCGAGACUCUUAUUAUGUAUUUAGCAAUCUUCUGCAUAGCCACAAGUGCAGUACUGAUCAGAGAAGAGGGGAAGAAUCAGUAUCUAGUCUUCUACACAAGUAAAACAAUGACAGAUGCUGAAAUACGAUACAACAAGGCUGAGAAGAUCAUACUAGCACUAGUGUAUGCAAAGAGGAAGCUUCGACACUAUUUUGAAUCACAUAUCAUCAUAGUCUUGACCAGCUACCCUAUGCGAGUUAUUCCUUCCAAGCCAGACUUAUCCGGAAGAAUAACUAAAUGGGCAAUCGAACUCAGUUCCUUUGAUAUAUCUUAUGAGCCGAAAGUGUCACACAAGGGAUAGGCAUUAGCCGACUUCCUUCUUGAGUAUGAAGAUAAGCCUGAAGAGCCAGACCCCCCUGAACCAUAAUGGGAGCUUCGGGUAGAUGGUUCCUCAAACCUAGCUAACACCGGGGCUGGAGUCAUUAUCAUAACCCUUAAAGGCAUUAGGCUGUAGCAGUCAAUCCGUCUGACUUUUCCCGCUUCUAACAACGAAGUCGAGUAUGAGGCCUUACUCGCUAGGCUUUGGUUAGCAAACCAGCUCCAGGAAGGUGUCUAAAGGUUUUUAGUGAUUCCCAACUUGUUGUGAAUCAGGUGACAGGCAAAUAUCAACCCAAAGAAGAAAGAAUAAAAGCAUACAAGGAGGCUGU